rnacentral:rRNA from 1 species
CUGGCGGCGUGCCUAAUACAUGCAAGUAGAACGCUGAGGUUUGGUGUUUACACUAGACUGAUGAGUUGCGAACGGGUGAGUAACGCGUAGGUAACCUGCCUCAUAGCGGGGGAUAACUAUUGGAAACGAUAGCUAAUACCGCAUAAGAGUAAUUAACACAUGUUAGUUAUUUAAAAGGAGCAAUUGCUUCACUGUGAGAUGGACCUGCGUUGUAUUAGCUAGUUGGUGAGGUAAAGGCUCACCAAGGCGACGAUACAUAGCCGACCUGAGAGGGUGAUCGGCCACACUGGGACUGAGACACGGCCCAGACUCCUACGGGAGGCAGCAGUAGGGAAUCUUCGGCAAUGGACGGAAGUCUGACCGAGCAACGCCGCGUGAGUGAAGAAGGUUUUCGGAUCGUAAAGCUCUGUUGUUAGAGAAGAACGUUGGUAGGAGUGGAAAAUCUACCAAGUGACGGUAACUAACCAGAAAGGGACGGCUAACUACGUGCCAGCAGCCGCGGUAAUACGUAGGUCCCGAGCGUUGUCCGGAUUUAUUGGGCGUAAAGCGAGCGCAGGCGGUUCUUUAAGUCUGAAGUUAAAGGCAGUGGCUUAACCAUUGUACGCUUUGGAAACUGGAGGACUUGAGUGCAGAAGGGGAGAGUGGAAUUCCAUGUGUAGCGGUGAAAUGCGUAGAUAUAUGGAGGAACACCGGUGGCGAAAGCGGCUCUCUGGUCUGUAACUGACGCUGAGGCUCGAAAGCUNGGGGAGCAAACAGGAUUAGAUACCCUGGUAGUCCACGCCGUAAACGAUGAGUGCUAGGUGUUAGGCCCUUUCCGGGGCUUAGUGCCGCAGCUAACGCAUUAAGCACUCCGCCUGGGGAGUACGACCGCAAGGUUGAAACUCAAAGGAAUUGACGGGGGCCCGCACAAGCGGUGGAGCAUGUGGUUUAAUUCGAAGCAACGCGAAGAACCUUACCAGGUCUUGACAUCCUUCUGACCGGCCUAGAGAUAGGCUUUCUCUUCGGAGCAGAAGUGACAGGUGGUGCAUGGUUGUCGUCAGCUCGUGUCGUGAGAUGUUGGGUUAAGUCCCGCAACGAGCGCAACCCCUAUUGUUAGUUGCCAUCAUUAAGUUGGGCACUCUAGCGAGACUGCCGGUAAUAAACCGGAGGAAGGUGGGGAUGACGUCAAAUCAUCAUGCCCCUUAUGACCUGGGCUACACACGUGCUACAAUGGUUGGUACAACGAGUCGCAAGCCGGUGACGGCAAGCUAAUCUCUUAAAGCCAAUCUCAGUUCGGAUUGUAGGCUGCAACUCGCCUACAUGAAGUCGGAAUCGCUAGUAAUCGCGGAUCAGCACGCCGCGGUGAAUACGUUCCCGGGCCUUGUACACACCGCCCGUCACACCACGAGAGUUUGUAACACCCGAAGUCGGUGAGGUAACCUUUUAGGAGCCAGCCGCCUAAGGUGGGAUAGAUGAUUGGGGUGAAGUCGU